GACGAACCGUGCGAACGUUGUUCGGAAUCACUGGGCUUAAAGGGCGCGUAGGCGGGCCACCAAGUCCGGGGUGAAAUCUUUCGGCUCAACCGGAAAAGGGCCUCGGAUACUGGUGGCCUCGAGGAAGGUAGGGGCAUGCGGAACUUCCGGUGGAGCGGUGAAAUGCGUUGAUAUCGGAAGGAACGCCGGUGGCGAAAGCGGCGUGCUGGACCUUUGCUGACGCUGAUGCGCGAAAGCCAGGG
rnacentral:rRNA from 1 species